rnacentral:rRNA from 1 species
UACAGAGGGGGCAAGCGUUAUUCGGAAUUAUUGGGCGUAAAGGGCUCGUAGGCGGCCAACUAAGUCGGACGUGAAGUCCCUCGGCUUAACCGGGGAACUGCGUCCGAUACUGGAUGGCUUGAGUUCGGGAGAGGGAUGCGGAAUUCCAGGUGUAGCGGUGAAAUGCGUAGAUAUCUGGAGGAACACCGGUGGCGAAGGCGGCAUCCUGGACCGACACUGACGCUGAGGAGCGAAAGCCAGGGGAGCAAACGGG